rnacentral:rRNA from 1 species
GAUGAACGCUGGCGGCGCGCCUAACACAUGCAAGUCGAACGGUUAAAGCACCUUUUAGGUGUGUAUAAAGUGGCGAACGGCUGAGUAACACGUGGGCAACCUGCCCUCCUCUUGGGGAUAGCCUCGGGAAACCGAGGAUAAUACCCGAUACUUCAAUGUGGCCGCAUGACGACAUUGAGAAAGCUUUUGCGGAGAAGGAUGGGCCCGCGGCCUGUUAGCUUGUUGGUGGGGUAGAGGCCUACCAAGGCAAUGAUGGGUAGCUGGGUUGAGAGACCGACCAGCCAGAUUGGGACUGAGACACGGCCCAGACUCCUACGGGAGGCAGCAGUGGGGAAGCUUGCACAAGGGGCGAAGGCCUGAUGCAGCGACGCCGCGGGCGGGACGAAGGCCUUCGGGUUGGAAACCGCGUUCAGCAGGGACGAGGCGAUAAGUGACGGUACCUGCAGAAGAAGCCCCGGCUAACUACGUG